rnacentral:rRNA from 1 species
UAUGAGAGUCACCCUGCAGCCCAAGACCGGUUACUCACUGAAGCCAAGCAUGGCUAAGCCUGGUCAGUACUUGGACGGAAGACCACAUGGGAAAACCAGGUUGCUGUUGGAA